UACCAUGCUGUAGUUAUGGGAUUUCUUUUAAAAAGUUCUAUCUGCUCCUUAUUUCAGUUCAGGGUUUUGGUCCUUCGUGUCGGAAGCAUUCCUCAAAUGCCCAAUUGAAAGUUUUGUGGAAAGUUUGGGGCCCUGUCAACUGGUGGGCUGCAUUGUAGGGUGAUCAGGUAGUGAGCCUGAUUUUUGGUUAUUGUUUGAAUGACCCCCAGUGUUGGUAUUAUCCAUAGGUCUUUUCUUUGUAGCCGUCCAAUUUUUCCAAGAGUCCUGUGAGCUUUUGCUUGUGAGUAGUGCUAGGCUGGUUGUGUUCUGGGUGUCAAGUGGGGUCAGGGGGCUGAGAGCCAUCAUUAGCAUGGGGGCUUUGACUUUGCCCUUCUGCUCUCAUUUGGGCCAUUGCCCUCACCUGAUUCCAUUUUUACAGAGCAAAGCCUCGGGUCUCCAGCAGAGUCCAAGUCCUAAGACUUGGUGCUAUGCACUCAGCCUGAUUAUUUGAAGAGGCAAGUUUUUGUCUGUGACACGAUAAUCAGGUGCUUUGUGAUCAAAAGAACAAAGCUAGGAUGGCUAGUGCUAAGCUGAAAAACUAAAAAUUGCCUUCUUGAGAAUAAACAUAUGACUCUUAUUUAGCUCCAAGGAAAGGAUAAGAAAUCAGGAUGCUGUUUUUAACGUUUUGAUGUGGCCGGAAAUGAAACUUGGAUUUUAAUCAGUGGAUGCAAUUUACCAUUAAUGUAACAUACCAUUAUGAUGAGUCUUUAAAGGAAAUUCAGCAAACUAAUAAAAGGAACUUGCACCUUUGUCAAAUACAUUUAAAAAGACGCUUCAUGAGUGCAAAAUAUUUUCCUAAAUCGAAGUGGUCAGAAGGCAAAUAUCAAGCUGAAUGUCCAACAGAUGCCAAGGAGCCCAUUAGACGUUACUCCACGAUCUACCACUAGAUGGCGAUGACAGCGAAGGCAAACCAGUUCUGAGAACAUCAGAGACUUCACUGGCCAACUCCGGAGGCACCAGGGAAACUCUCUUCUCAUGUUUUAAGACAGCGAAGGCAAACCAGUUCUGAGAACAUCAGAGACUUCACUGGCCAACUCCGGAGGCACCAAAUCUAACUGUGACCCAGAUUUGGUCUUGGAGCCGAUCAGAAGGUAUCGAGUUGAAGACAGGUUUACACUCUGCUUCCUCCAACUGCCUCGAGUGGUUGUUUUCAAGAGGAGUCUGGGUACGAAUGAGCUAAGGUAAGAAGUGGAUUUAUUUAGAGAGAAACAUACUCCACAGACAGAGUGUGGGCCAUCUCAGAAGGCGAGAGGCAAUAAAAGAGUGAUUAUAGCCAAGAAAGUUGUGGGGAAAAAAAGGCAUCUGUGUAUGGGGGGAGUACUUACACUACUAGAUAUUAAAACUUACUUUCUGUGACAAAAAUACAAACAUAAAAUUUAAUUUGGGGAGGGAUGGUGUGGCUGCUCUAAACAUAACACCAAAGGCAGAAACCAUAAAAGGCUUUUUACUGUAUAAGGAGUGCCCCCCAAACAAUGUGAAAUAUUGUAAAACCAAUUUCCCAACUUUUUUUGAGGUAUUGUUGAUUUACAGUAUCAUAUUAGUUUCAAGUGUACUGCAUAGUGAUUCAAAAUUUUUAUAGAUUAUACUCCAUUUAUAGUUAUUAUAAAAUAUUGGCUAUAUUCUCUGUGCUGUACAAUGUAUCCUUGUAGCUUAUCUAUUUUAUACCUCUUGUAGUUUAUACCUCUUAACCCCCUACUCCUAUCUUGCCCUCCCUCCUUCCCUCUCCCUGCUGGUAACCACUAGUUUGUUCUCUAUAUCUGUGAGUUUGUUUCUUUUUUGUUAUAUUCACUAGUUUGUUUUAUUUUUUUAGAUUUGACAUAUAAGUGAUAACAUACAGUAUUUGUCUUUCUCUGAUUUAUUUCACUAAGCAUAAUAUCCUCCAGGUCCAUUCACAAUGUUGCAAAUGGCAACAUUUCAUUCUUUUAUGGCUGAGUGGUAUUCCACUGUGUAUGUACACCACAACUUCUUUAUCCAUUUGUCUGUUGAUGGACACUUAGGAUGCUUCUGUAUCUUGGCUAUUGUAAAUAAUGCUGCUAUGAACAUUGGGGUGCAUGUAUCUUUUUGAAUUAAUGUUUUCGUUUUCUUCAGAUAUAUACGCAGGAGUCAACUUCCCAACUUUUAAAAAUGGGCAAAUAGAAAAGUGGGCCAAGGGACAAAAGCAAAUUCACAAAAGAGAAAAUACGGGGCUUCCCUGGUGGCGCAGUGGUUGCGCGUCCGCCUGCCGAUGCAGGGGAACCGGGUUCGCGCCCCGGUCCGGGAAGAUCCCACAUGCCGCGGAGCGGCUGGGCCCGUGAGCCAUGGCCGCUGAGCCUGCGCGUCCGGAGCCUGUGCUCCGCAACGGGAGAGGCCGCAGCAGAGGGAGGCCCGCAUACCACACACACACACACAAAAAGAGAAAAUACAAACAGUUAAUAAAUAACUACGUGAAAAAACAAGCCAGUUAACUAGUAAUUAAAGAAACAACAUUCAAAACAAUGAGAAAUAACAACUUUAAAUUAAAUUAGAAAA